rnacentral:rRNA from 1 species
GUACACGCUGUGACUAGCAUAUCAAUAAGCGGAGGAAAAGAGACUAACAAGGAUUCCCCUAGUAACGGCGAGUGAAGCGGGAAGAGCUCAAAUUUGAAAUCUUAAAGGGUUUCCCUUUACGAAUUGUAGUUUAAAGAAGUGUUUUCUGUUGAGGUUUUGGUAAAAGUUCUUUGGAAUAGGACAUCAUAGAGGGUGAGAAUCCCGUAUUUGACCUUUACUUUCAACUUUGUGAUACACUUUCAAAGAGUCGGAUUGUUUGGGAAUGCAGUCCAAAAUGGGUGGUAAAUUUCAUCUAAAGCUAAAUAUUGGCGAGAGACCGAUAGCGAACAAGUACCGUGAGGGAAAGAUGAAAAGAACUUUGAAAAGAGAGUUAAACAGUACGUGAAAUUGUCCAAAAGGGAAGCGUUUGACACCAGUGUUGUUUUUCUGAAAAUCAAUUAAAGAACUGUUUAUGCUAAGUUGUUUAGACUUUAUCAGCUAACUGUUUAGUUUUGAGCUUUUCUUUAAUGCACUUUUCAGUUAACAAGUCAACAUCAAUUUCUUUUGCUGUAAAAAAGCUUGAGGAAGGUGGCUUGAGAUUCGUCUUAAGUGUUUAUAGCCUCUUGCCUAUGCAGUCGGAGAGAUUGAGGUCUGCAGCGUAGAUCCUUCGGGGCUAAAUGCAUUUGUGCUAAGUUAUAGCAUUUUAUAGACAACUUGUUGACUAUGAUUUGUCUUGUAGCUUACUCGCUUAUGUUAUUUUACCUACGCUUAGGAUGUUGAAGUCAUCGUAUCGCGC